ensembl:snoRNA
ACAGCCUGAAAAUUACCUCUAUUGUGUCAGUCAGUAGGGCGUGAUAACUGUGCCGACAGUAACGUGGCUCAUCAAAGCUUAUUACCAGUCGAUGUGACUGUGCAAUCAAACCCAUGUGCCCACACUC